UUUGUUUUUUUUUUUUUUUGAUGAUAAUGGGAGGCAUAGGCCACCCGGUAAUUUAUUUCAAAAAGAGGUGAAUCUGCAUUGUCUUUUCUAUGGGCCACUUGAGGUUGUGGUCCCAGCAGUGUUUGGAUCAAAUGUAUUACAGCAAUGGAGCUUACGUUGCUCAUGCAACGUUUUGAAUAAAGAAACCUACUUAAAAUACAUGUGUUGGCUUUGAGUUAUCUCCUUUUCCCCUCGAUGUGGCUGUGUGAGAACGUUGUUGCUUCCUUCAGUUUGCACUCAAAGGUCUUCGUCCGUUUGACGCACUAUGUGAGAUUCAACAGUCUAGAUUGAGUAUUGGCUUUGAAGUGGAAUCUACGACUAUUUCUUUCUUUCCAUAGUCUCCAACAUACUGCAGACAUCGGACAGUCUCAGGGUUGUUUUGUUGUUUGUUGCGGCAACAUCUUCCUCCAUGUUGUCCAUAGGUUCUCUACUGAUGUUAGCAUAUGAGGCAUGCCAAGCGAUGAGAUAAUUGGCUGCCAGAUUUGUUCUGAAUAUGAGCGUGUCAGGAGGGGUGAUUGCAUGUCUUUUCUUCUGAGUUGCAGAGAGAACAUAAAAUGGGGACCUGAAUGUUUCUUUUAUGUAAGUUGCUGGCCAUCUGUAUUUUAUUUUUUGUAAACUAACCAGUUGAAUAUUUUAACUCAUUCCAGUAUUGGAAGCCUCCAGUUGAUCUUUGCAAAUUCUAAUAUCAUACCACUAUGACAGAGGAAGCGCUAGAAGCUUUUGACUGUGAAAGUCUGCUUGUUUAUCCAUUUCAGAACCAGAGAGUCACUUCCUGGCAUUAGGCUCACUUCACUGAUUAGAUUCAGUAUGUGCUGUAAAGAAUCCUUUCCUCUUGUAUUAAAUGGUAAAUGAAAUAAUUGUAUCUUCUCUUAUGUUACAAAAAAAUCUUGCACUAAGAUGAAUGGAUUCAGUGUUAGGUCUUAUGUCCUCGAAAAGAUCUUUGAGUUGUGUUUGUGCAACCCAUACAACAUGCCAAAAGGCAACCUGACUGCCAUCACCUAUCUUAAAUCAAGAGCAUUGAGCAAAGAUGUUUCUUAUCUUCA